GCCCUGGUUCUGAUUUUUGGGUUACUUGGGACAUGUAUAGGUACUGUAAACACAUUUUAGUUCCCGAAAAAAAAUUCAGAAGACCCAAGACUGCCCAUAGGCGCAGUGACAAUCUAGCUUUCGACGUCGAAUCAAGUAAAGACCCCUCACCCUAUUUCCUAUCAUGGAAUUGUAGUUUAAGUAAAUGAUAAUACUGUAUUUUGUAGAAAUUAAAUAGAUACGUAUAAUUAAUUAUGGUUGCUAAUGGAGCCCGAACCGGACAUUAUUCUCUGUCGAUUCCUAUUUGAUUUAUUUUACAAUCUAAAUGCAUUAUGGUAUCUAGUUUAUCUAUUCUAUGAUUUUAAAUGCAUGUAUCACUGCUUACUUCACUACUGUUUGAUUUUGGGAAUCUAAGAUAUGCUUGCUUUGUUGGAUGGACGUUGCUUGUUUAUAUAUUUAUGUUUGAGUUGGUAACAGAGACUAAGGACAAAUAGGAAUGGGAUGUGAUUUGAUAAAUGGAUAAGAUGACAGCCUCACUAGAUAUCCUGCGAGAUGGUGGACGGACCGGGUUCAUAGGGAACCCUACCGUGAACGUCGUCUCAUACCGGAUAGGAUAUGGAGACUUGGUCAUUUGGCACUCAUAUUAGACGGGGUAUGGGGACGACCUGCUUCACCCUCAUACCAAACGGGGUAUGGGAUGGCCCUGUAAUUAAGAUUGUUAAGAGGAAUGGUUCACGUGUAGCAGGGACCCCUAUGGAUCCCCAUGGAUACUAGUAGGCUGGUGAAAAUAAGAAACAGUAAUAAUCAGUUAUUGUUAAUGAAUACAUAUUUAUGAUGUAUUUUAUGUUACUGAUUAUGCAUGAAAUUGUGAUCUGUAUGAUGUUAUUGUCUUUAUAGGUUGUUUUCACAGGUGUUCUAAGGGUAAAAAAAAAAGGUAAGUGGUUUUAUU
rnacentral:lncRNA from 1 species